GGUCCGGUAGCUCAGCUGGUAGAGCAGCAGCCUUUUAAGCUGAUGGUCGUGGGUUCGAACCCCACCCGGAUCACCA
rnacentral:tRNA from 1 species